rnacentral:lncRNA from 1 species
AUGCUUUUCUCUCUCCCUCAUCCUUCCUGUGGUCUUUGUCUUUCUUUGCCCCUCUUCUCCCCUUCUCUCCCGUUGCUCCUUUCUUUUCUCUAUUCCUAUCUCUUUUUCUCCACUUUCUCUCCCCCCUUUCUCACCUCUCCCUUCCUUUCCCCCUUUUCUUUCUCUUCUCUCCUGCUCUCUCCCUUUUCUCUCCCUUCCCUCUCUACUGUCUCUUCUCUCGUCUCCUUCCUUUUCUCACCUUUGUCUCCAUCCCUUCCUCUCUCCUCUUUCUCUCCUCUGUCUCUCUUUCCCUUGCUGCUUCUCUUUCCUCUCUCCCUUCCCUCCUUCCUCCAUGCCCUCCUCUGCUUCUGCUCUUUGUCUUUUGUUCUCUUUCUCAUCUCUCCCUUUCUUACUCUCUCUCCCUCAAUUGCUUGCUUUCUUUCCCUUCCUUUCUCUCUCUCACCCUGCCUCUGUCUCUUCUCCCCUCUCUUGCCCCUUCUACCUUCCUUGUAUCUCUUUCCUCUCUCCUUCCUUCCUCCGUCUCUUCUUUCUCCCCCUUUCUUGCUCUUUUUUGCUUUCAUUUCUUCUCACUCUUCCUUCCUUCCUCUCUCCCUUUCCUCCCCCCUUCAUUUCUCCUUCUCCUCUUCAAUCCCGCCCCCCUUUUUCUUUCCUUCUGCCUUCAGUUUCUCUUCCUGUCUUCUCUUCCUUCCUGUCUCUCUGUCCUCCUUUUCUCCCUUGUCUCUCUUCUCUUCCCCUCUCCAUUCUUUGCUAUCACUGUCUUUCUUCCCUCUCUCCCUCCCACCCUUCUCUUUUUCAUUUUCGUUUCAUUUCUUCCAUCCUUUCACAGCAUUUCUCUCCCAUUCUUUGGCUUUUUUCUCUCUCCCUUCCUCCCUCUUCUCUCCCUUCCUUCCCCUCUCUUUCCCCUCUUCCUCUCCAUCUCUCUGUCUCUUAAUCUUUCUCUCUCCCAUUCUAUUUCUCUCUCUUCCUUGUCUCUUUCCCUUCACCUCUCUUUCUUCUUUCCUUUCCCUCUUUCUAUUCUCUUCUCCCCUUUCUCCCAGUUUCUGUCUCUUCCUGCCUUCCUCUCUCAAUUUUCCCCUUCCUCCUCCCUUCCUCUGUUUCCACUCUAUCUUCUCUCUCCUUCCUUCCCACCUCUCUCUCUCCUGUUGUCUUUCUCUCCCACCCCAUUUCUUUCUCUCUCUGGUCUCUUUCCUCUCUUCCUUCUCCUUCCUUCCCUUCUUUUCCUUUCUCACAUCUCCCUGUUUCUCUCUCCUCUUUCGCCUCCUCUCUGUCCCUUAA